GUGGACCAGAACCAGCUACAGAACCAGAACCAGCUAAAGAACCAGAACCAGCUAAAGAACCAGAACCAGCUAAAGGACCAGAACCAGCUAAAGGACCAGAACCAGCUAAAGAAGCAGAACCAGCUAAAGGACCAGAUCCAGCUACAGAUCCAGACCCAGCUAAAGGACCAGAACCAGCUAAGCAGAACGUGGGGGAACCUUCCCCAGAACCGACAGCAGCUCAGAAACUUGUCUCUGAAACAUUAACAGCUGUGGAAUCUGUUCCAGAACCAGAUCCAGAACCAGUUACUCUAGUCAACUCCUCUGUUGUACCAGAACCAGCUGCAGCUCCAGAAUUCAAUUCUGUCCCAGAACCAGUUAAGGUUUCUGAUCCAGAACCAGAACCUGAACCAGAGGUUGAGAAGGUGGAUGAGUCUGGACCAGAACCAGCAGCUGAAACGGUCUCUGGACUCACAGGGCUCGUGGCAGAGGAACCGGAACCGGAGCAUAACUCUGAACGAUGUUGCUGCAGCUGCAGCUCAAAAUGAAUCCAACAAGUUGGAGGCACUGAUGGAGGAGCAGAGCUGAUUUCUGAUGAAGUUCUGAAGAGAUGAAGAUCAGCAGUUUUUGAGGCUUCCUUCAUGUUUUUGUGGUGUUAGCAGCUCUGAGGUGGAGCAGGGGUUUCGUAGCAAACGUGUUUCCCACCAAUGUGCCUUCAGGAGUUUUUGUGUGUGUUGAAGCUUUGUGCAGACAUGAAGGAGUGUGUUUUUACUCAGCCUGGUUUUAAUCUGUUUCUGAAUGUUAAACUGUUUCUGUUGAUGCUGCAGCUUUACUUUAUCUGCUCUGAUUUUGUUUUAA